GAUGAACGCUGGCGGCGUGCCUAAUACAUGCAAGUCGAGCGAACAGACGAGGAGCUUGCUCCUUUGACGUUAGCGGCGGACGGGUGAGUAACACGUGGGUAACCUACCUAUAAGACUGGGAUAACUUCGGGAAACCGGAGCUAAUACCGGAUAAUAUUUUGAACCGCAUGGUUCGAUAGUGAAAGAUGGCUUUGCUAUCACUUAUAGAUGGACCUGCGCCGUAUUAGCUAGUUGGUAAGGUAACGGCUUACCAAGGCAACGAUACGUAGCCGACCUGAGAGGGUGAUCGGCCACACUGGAACUGAGACACGGUCCAGACUCCUACGGGAGGCAGCAGUAGGGAAUCUUCCGCAAUGGGCGAAAGCCUGACGGAGCAACGCCGCGUGAGUGAUGAAGGUCUUCGGAUCGUAAAACUCUGUUAUUAGGGAAGAACAAACGUGUAAGUAACUGUGCACGUCUUGACGGUACCUAAUCAGAAAGCCACGGCUAACUACGUG
rnacentral:rRNA from 1 species